rnacentral:rRNA from 1 species
GACGAACGCUGGCGGCGUGCCUAAUACAUGCAAGUAGAACGCUGAAGCUUGGUGCUUGCACCGAGCGGAUGAGUUGCGAACGGGUGAGUAACGCGUAGGUAACCUGCCUGGUAGCGGGGGAUAACUAUUGGAAACGAUAGCUAAUACCGCAUAACAGUAGAUAUCGCAUGAUAGCUACUUGAAAGGUGCAAAUGCACCACUACCAGAUGGACCUGCGUUGUAUUAGCUAGUUGGUGAGGUAACGGCUCACCAAGGCAACGAUACAUAGCCGACCUGAGAGGGUGAUCGGCCACACUGGGACUGAGACACGGCCCAGACUCCUUCGGGAGACAGCAGUAGGGAAUCUUCGGCAAUAGACGGAAGUCUGACCGAGCAACGCCGCGUGAGUGAAGAAGGUUUUCGGAUCGUAAAGCUCUGUUGUAAGAGAAGAACGAGUGUGAGAGUGGAAAGUUCACACUGUGACGGUAUCUUACCAGAAAGGGACGGCUAACUACGUG